CGACCNAGACCCCAUGUCAGGCGGGAUUACCC
rnacentral:rRNA from 1 species